GGCUCAGGACGAACGCUGGCGGCGUGCCUAAUACAUGCAAGUCGAGCGGGGUUGWUUAGAAGCUUGCUUCUAAWCAACCUAGCGGCGGACGGGUGAGUAACACGUAGGCAACCUGCCCACAAGACAGGGAUAACUACCGGAAACGGUAGCUAAUACCCGAUACAUCCUUUUCCUGCAUGGGAGAAGGAGGAAAGACGGAGCAAUCUGUCACUUGUGGAUGGGCCUGCGGCGCAUUAGCUAGUUGGUGGGGUAAAGGCCUACCAAGGCGACGAUGCGUAGCCGACCUGAGAGGGUGAUCGGCCACACUGGGACUGAGACACGGCCCAGACUCCUACGGGAGGCAGCAGUAGGGAAUCUUCCGCAAUGGGCGAAAGCCUGACGGAGCAACGCCGCGUGAGUGAUGAAGGUUUUCGGAUCGUAAAGCUCUGUUGCCAGGGAAGAACGUCUUGUAGAGUAACUGCUACAAGAGUGACGGU
rnacentral:rRNA from 1 species